GCGGGUGUAGCUCAGUGGUAGAGCACGACCUUGCCAAGGUCGGGGUCGAGGGUUCGAGCCCCUUCGCCCGCU
rfam:Bradyrhizobium sp. S23321 DNA, complete genome.